rnacentral:rRNA from 1 species
GAAUAACUUAACAACACAAAUAAAAUAAUAAACCCAAAACAUUAAACCAAAUCAUUUUUCCGCCUUAGUACGGGAGACGAAAAAGGUCCAAUAAGCAAUAGAAAAAGUACCGCAAGGGAAAGCUGAAAGAGCAAUGAAACAAAUCAUAUAUAGCACAACAAAGCAGAGACUAAGCCUCGUACCUUUUGCAUCAUGAUUUAGCAAGAAUCCAACAAGCAAAGAGCCCUUUAGUUUGUAUCCCCGAAACCAAGUGAGCUACCCCGGGACAGCCUGUAAGGGCCAACCCGUCUCUGUGGCAAAAGAGUGGGAAGAGCCCCGGGUAGAGGUGAUAGACCUACCGAACUUGGUGAUAGCUGGUUGCCUAAGAAAUGAAUAGAAGUUCAGCCUCAUAUCACUUUAAUCCAGUAAGAAAUACCUGACAAUAGAAAACAAGAAAAGUAUGAGAGUUAGUUAAAAGGGGUACAGCCCGUUUAACCCAGGACACAACUUUAUCAGGAGGAUAGGGAUUAUAAUCAUAAAAAUUCGUCGUUACGGUGGGCCUAAAAGCAGCCACCCGAACAGAAAGCGUUAAAGCUCAAACGACAUAAAAUUUAUUAUCUCAAUAAAAAAUCCCACUCCCCUAAAAAUAUUAGGCCGCUCCAUGCCUACAUGGAAGAGACUAUGCUAAAAUGAGUAACAAGAGAACAUACUUCUCUCCAAGCACAAGUGUAAGCCAGCCCGGACCCACCACCGGCAACUAACGAACCCAAAAAAGAGGGUAAUGUGAUAAACAGAAAAAUCAAGAAGAACCCACAACCCCGCAUCGUUAACCCCACACUGGAGUGCCCCCAGGAAAGACUAAAAGAAAGGGAAGGAACUCGGCAAACACCUAAGCCUCGCCUGUUUACCAAAAACAUCGCCUCCUGCAAACCCCUAAGUAUAGGAGGUCCAGCCUGCCCAGUGACCACAAGUUCAACGGCCGCGGUAUUUUGACCGUGCAAAGGUAGCGCAAUCACUUGUCUUUUAAAUGAAGACCUGUAUGAAUGGCUAAACGAGGGCUUAACUGUCUCCCCUUUCAAGUCAGUGAAAUUGAUCUGCCCGUGCAGAAGCGGGCAUAAAACUACAAGACGAGAAGACCCUUUGGAGCUUAAGGUACAAACCCAGCCACGUCAAGCAACUUACUGAAAUAAGAGCUAAACCUAACGGAACAUUGGGAACUUACCUUCGGUUGGGGCGACCACGGAGAAAAAACCAUCCUCCGAGUGGAUUGGGACAACCAAACCUAAAACCAAGAAAGACAUUUCCAAGUCACAGAAAAUCUGACCAAAAAUGAUCCGGCCAAUAAGCCGAUCAACGAACCAAGUUACCCUAGGGAUAACAGCGCAAUCCCCUCCCAGAGCCCAUAUCGACGAGGGGGUUUACGACCUCGAUGUUGGAUCAGGACAUCCUAAUGGUGUAGCCGCUAUUAAGGGUUCGUUUGUUCAACGAUUAAAGUCCUACGUGAUCUGAGUUCAGACCGGAGCAAUCCAGGUCAGUUUCUAUCUGUAACGUCCCUUUUCCUAGUACGAAAGGACCGGAAAAGAGGGGCCCAUGCCAAAAGCACGCCCCACCCGCAAUUAAUGAAAACAACUUAAUUAAACAAGUGGAGGACCUUCACUCAAGGCCAAGAUAAAGCCAC